rnacentral:rRNA from 1 species
UCCAGACUCCUACGGGAGGCAGCAGUGAGGAAUAUUGGUCAAUGGGCGGAAGCCUGAACCAGCCAAGUCGCGUGAGGGAAGACGGUCCUACGGAUUGUAAACCUCUUUUGCCGGGGGACAAACGGCGGCACGCGUGCCGUCCUGAGGGUACCCGGAGAAAAAGCAUCGGCUAACUCCGUGCCAGCAGCCGCGGUAAUACGGAGGAUGCGAGCGUUAUCCGGAUUUAUUGGGUUUAAAGGGUGCGUAGGCGGGAUGCCAAGUCAGCGGUAAAAUGCGGGGGCUCAACCUGCGUCCGCCGUUGAAACUGGCGUUCUUGAGUGGGCGAGAAGUACGCGGAAUGCGUGGUGUAGCGGUGAAAUGCAUAGAUAUCACGCAGAACCCCGAUUGCGAAGGCAGCGUACCGGCGCCCAACUGACGCUGAAGCACGAAAGCGUGGGUAUCGAACAGGAUUAGAUACCCCUGUA